rnacentral:rRNA from 1 species
CGCGUAGGCGGCGGUGUCAGUCAGGCGUGAAAUUCCUGGGCUUAACCUGGGGGCUGCGCUUGAUACGGCACUGCUAGAGGUCAGAAGAGGCUCGUGGAAUUCCCAGUGUAGAGGUGAAAUUCGUAGAUAUUGGGAAGAACACCGGUGGCGAAGGCGGCGAGCUGGUCUGAUACUGACGCUGAGGCGCGACAGCGUGGGGAGCAAACAG